rnacentral:rRNA from 1 species
AGCUCCAAUAGCGUAUAUUAAAGUUGCUGCAGUUAAAAAGCUCGUAGUUGGAUUUCUGGCAUGGUGUGCCUGGCCCGCGCCGUAAGGUUGUGAGUGCCGGGUCGCGCCUGCCAUCCUUCUAGACAGCGUCUCUACCCUCGCGGGCCGGAGGCGUCAUCUAGAUCUUUUACUUUGAAAAAAUUAGAGUGUUUCAAGCAGGCUUAUGCUAUGAAUACAUUAGCAUGGAAUAAUCAACUAGGACUUUGGUUCUAUUUUGUUGGUUUCUAGGACUGAAGUAAUGAUUGAUAGGGAUCGUUGGGGGUGCUAGUAUUCAGCGGCCAGAGGUGAAAUUCUCGGAUUCGCUGAAGACUAACUAAUGCGAAAGCAUUCGCCAAGGAGGUUCUCU